rnacentral:rRNA from 1 species
CCAGGNUNGAANGCCAGGCGACAGCCCAGGAAAGGGGGUCUCUUUGGGGCGCUUGGCGGGUGNGGCAUGGCUUUGUUCAGAUCUUUUGUUGAGAUGUUGGGUUAAGUCCCCCAACGAGCGCAACCCCUAUCNCUANUUACCACAGGAUCAUGCCGGGGAUUUUAAGGAGACUGCCUGCGCAAACAGGGAGGAAGGUGGGGAGGACGUCAAGUCAUCAUGGCCCUUACGCCUGGGGCUCCACACGUGUUACAAUGGACGGUACAACGGGCAGCUAAUCCGGGAGGGGAGGCAAAUCCAUAAAGCCGUUCUCAGUUCGGAUUGGAGUCUGCAACUUGACUCCANGAAGUCGGAAUCGNUAGUAAUCG